UGCGUAGGCGGUCUUUCAAGCCAGAAGUGAAAGGCUACGGCUCAACCGUAGUAAGCUUUGGAACUGUAAGACUUGAGUGCAGGAGAGGAGAGUGGAAUUCCUAGUGUAGCGGUGAAAUGCGUAGAUAUUAGGAGGAACACCAGUAGCGAAGGCGGCUCUCUGGACUGUAACUGACGCUGAGGCACGAAAGCGUGGGGAGCAAACA
rnacentral:rRNA from 1 species